rnacentral:rRNA from 1 species
GACGAACGCUGGCGGCGUGCUUAACACAUGCAAGUCGAACGGAAAGGCCCUGCUUGCAGGGUGCUCGAGUGGCGAACGGGUGAGUAACACGUGGGUGAUCUGCCCCUUACUUUGGGAUAAGCCUGGGAAACUGGGUCUAAUACUGGAUAGGACCAUGCUGUAGGUGGUGUGGUGGAAAGAUUAGUUUCGGUGAGGGAUGAGCUCGCGGCCUAUCAGCUUGUUGGUGGGGUAAUGGCCUACCAAGGCGUCGACGGGUAGCCGGCCUGAGAGGGUGGACGGCGACAUUGGGACUGUGAUACGGGGCAGACUCCUACGGGGGGCAGCAGUGGGGAAUAUUGCACAAUGGGCGCAAGCCUGAUGCAGCGACGCGGCGUGGGGGAUGACGGCCUUCGGGGUGUAAACUCCUUUCAGCCAUGACGAAGCCUUCGGGUGACGGUAGUGGUAGAAGAAGCACCGGCUAACUACGUG